AGGCCAAUGAGGAUUUCUUAUUUAAUAGUUGGAAUUACCGACUGAAUUUUAAUUUUUGAUGUCAACUUGACUGGCUGUCUGAGGCUUCGU
rnacentral:snoRNA from 2 species